ACGGAGAGUUUGAUCCUGGCUCAGGAUGAACGCUGGCGGCGUGCUUAACACAUGCAAGUCGAACGAGCCUUCGGGCUAGUGGCGGACGGGUGAGUAACGCGUGAGAAUCUGCCCUCAGGAGGGGGAUAACGGCUGGAAACGGCCGCUAAUACCCCAUAUGCCGCGAGGUGAAAUGAGAAAUCGCCUGAGGAUGAGCUCGCGUCUGAUUAGCUAGUUGGUGGGGUAAGAGCCUACCAAGGCAUCGAUCAGUAGCUGGUCUGAGAGGAUGAUCAGCCACACUGGGACUGAGACACGGCCCAGACUCCUACGGGAGGCAGCAGUGGGGAAUUUUCCGCAAUGGGCGAAAGCCUGACGGAGCAAUACCGCGUGAGGGAUGACAGCCUGUGGGUUGUAAACCUCUUUUCUCAAGGAAGAAGAACUGACGGUACUUGAGGAAUAAGCCACGGCUAAUUCCGUGCCAGCAGCCGCGGUAAUACGGGAGUGGCAAGCGUUAUCCGGAAUUAUUGGGCGUAAAGCGUCCGCAGGCGGUCUUGAAAGUCUGUUGUUAAAGCGUGGAGCUCAACUCCAUUUCAGCAAUGGAAACUAGAAGACUAGAGUGUGGUAGGGGCAGAGGGAAUUCCCGGUGUAGCGGUGAAAUGCGUAGAUAUCGGGAAGAACACCAGUGGCGAAGGCGCUCUGCUGGGCCAUAACUGACGCUCAUGGACGAAAGCCAGGGGAGCGAAAGGGAUUAGAUACCCCUGUAGUCCUGGCCGUAAACGAUGAACACUAGGUGUCGGGGGAAUCGACCCCCUCGGUGUCGUAGCCAACGCGUUAAGUGUUCCGCCUGGGGAGUACGCACGCAAGUGUGAAACUCAAAGGAAUUGACGGGGGCCCGCACAAGCGGUGGAGUAUGUGGUUUAAUUCGAUGCAACGCGAAGAACCUUACCAGGGUUUGACAUCCUGCGAAUCUUUUGGAAACAGAAGAGUGCCUUCGGGAGCGCAGAGACAGGUGGUGCAUGGCUGUCGUCAGCUCGUGUCGUGAGAUGUUGGGUUAAGUCCCGCAACGAGCGCAACCCUCAUUUUUAGUUGCCUUAUGGAACUCUAGAAAGACUGCCGGUUAUAAACCGGAGGAAGGCGGGGAUGACGUCAAGUCAGCAUGCCCCUUACGCCCUGGGCUACACACGUACUACAAUGGUCGAGACAAAGAGUCGCAAGUCUGCAAAGACAAGCUAAUCUCACAAACUCGAUCUCAGUUCGGAUUGCAGGCUGCAACUCGCCUGCAUGAAGGUGGAAUCGCUAGUAAUCGCCGGUCAGCAAUACGGCGGUGAAUCCGUUCCCGGGCCUUGUACACACCGCCCGUCACACCAUGGAAGCUAGCCACACCCAAAGUCGUUACCUUAACCGUUUGGAGGGGGGCGCCUAAGGUAGGGUUAGUGACUGGGGUGAAGUCGUAACAAGGUAGCCGUACUGAA
rnacentral:rRNA from 1 species